ensembl:misc_RNA Metazoa_SRP Metazoan signal recognition particle RNA
UCCGGGCGCAGUGGCACAUGCCUGUAGCCCCAGCUACUCGGGAGGCUGAGACUGGAGGAUUGCUUGAGUCCAGGAGUUCUGGGCUGUAGUGCGCUAUGCCAAUCAGGUGUCCGCACUAAGUUCAGCAUCAAUAUGAUGAUCUCCCGGGAGCAGGGGACCACCAGGUUGCAUAAGGAGGGGUGAACCGGCCCAGGUUGGAAACAGAGCAGGUCAAAACUCCCGUGCUGAUCAGUAGUGGGAUCACGCUUGUGAAUAGCCACUGCACUCCAGCCUGGGCAACAUAGCAAGACCCCGUCUCUU